AUGAGAUUGACUUGUGACAUGCAAAGCGAGAUGUGCUUCUACUUCUCAGAAGUCCAAUCUUGCUCGAUUUGCAAUCCUUGUUUUGCUGAUUUCCUUGAAUAUUCUAAUUUUCUGAGAUGGUUAAUUUGGGGUUUUCACCAGCUGUACGCCAUGAUCAUCACAAUUAUCACAAAUCAAGGCUUGACAUAUCUCGCUUUGCAUGUCACGAGUCGAUCUCAUAUAUUAGUUUCACCUUUCAAGUUGAAUUCCUGAAAUCAAGGAACUUUCCCACGAUAUUCUACUUUUUCGAGUUUCACC